CAGACGAAUGUAGCCCUGUGCGAUAUUUUCUUUUAUUUCCAUGUUUUUGAAAAGUGCUACAAAAUGUAUUAAAGUGCUUUUUGAAUGUACUGUGCCGAAGCGUGUUUAUUUUCUUAUGGCCUGAAUUUUGUUUGUAUUUUUAAAUAUUUUUAUGUUCAUCUCUGUGAGUUUAUUGGAUGAAAAUGGAUAGUGACCUUUGAACCUGAACCUGUUCGAGGAGAAGCGGGAAAAAUGAAAAGCGAGCGAGGGAGGGGAUGGUUGCACGCGGACGGUUAGUUUGAUGCCGUAAAUAUACGGUUAAUAUCCACCUCCAGGCUUUAGACGUGGAAUUACGCAUGAUAACAGUUGUCGGAUUGAUAACUUCUUUAUCAGAGAUCGGGUAUUUCUGAUCGUGUAUUUAAGUAUUCCUGAAGUUUAUUACCGCGUGAGUAGCAGUAAUCGUAAGAGCGUGGUGGCGCCCGGCCGCCAUCUUAAGCUGAACGCGACCUCCGGCACGGUGUCAGUUAUCAUCGCCCUGAAGGGACAUGGACUCAGUGGACGGAGUUCGCCGUUCACCUGGACGAGAUGGGCGAAGGGGAAACUGGACGCCAGCACAAACGGGUCUGCGGGAGAUACGGGCUUCCAGGCGUCCCAGCGCGACGGAGCUUCGCUCCUCUCCUGAAGCGGCAAGUACCCGCUUCUCUGUCUUUGUUUGCUCGCAGAGCGAAGCGGACGCUUCCAUGUCGGGUCCCGAGCCACGUUACCAGGCCUCACCCAGGAGGACAUCUUACUUCCUAUACUGCCGGCAUUGGAGCUUUCGUGAACUUUCAGUUAAGAACAUAUCAGGACGACGCCCUUCCCUCCCGACUCGACUGUGAUCCAUGCUUUCGGGAACGAGACGCUGUCAAACAAAAAGCUUCAAGCCUCCAUCUCCUCCAACACAAAGCGAGGAAAUUGCAUUUCCGUGGAUUUAUCUGCACAUUUAGCCUGCUGGCUGCUUGGGGACUCUGACUACAAGGUCUACAGGCUGCAGACACAUCAGAGGAACCUUCAAAUGCAAGCCAGUGUGGAAACAUGAAAAUAAUGAGGGCACAUGCCUCACUCAAGACACCUUUUCGCAAAAACCCCGUUAAAUGCAGAGUAGAGAUACUCAGUUGUAUGUUGAUUAGCUUUUUUUU